GCUGGGUGCAGUGGCACACACCUGUAAUCUCUGCAGCUCAGGAGGCUGAGGCAGGAGGAUCUGGAGUUUAAAGCUAGUCUCAGCCAGAGUGAGGCACUAAGCAACUCAGACCUUGUCUCUA
rnacentral:sRNA from 1 species